CCGCAUCACAGAGGGCUCCGCACCGAUUACAUCACUUCCGUAAACAAAGUGCGCUGCGGAGGCGCGGGUCCCAAGCUGGGUGACCUGGACACUUGCUGCAGCUGUAGCCGAGGCUUUGGACGCUCUCUGACCUUUUCCAGUUGAGGAAAAGGACCAUAGCCUCUUCCUAUGGUCUUAUGAAGCUGCUCUUGAUGCAACAAAGAACUUGAAGCAAUGGAAGAGCGGAAAGUGAAGAGGAAGAGUCCCAAGUCCUUCAGUGCCCACUCUACUCAGGUUGUCAAUGCCAAAAAAAAUGCCAUCCCAGCUAGUAAGAGCACAGGCUUUUCAAAUCCCACGGUACAGUCAACAUCCCAGCGGCCAAAGUUAAAGAGAGUGGUGAAAGAAAAGAACAAGCCUCCAGGAGGAGAAGGGAAGGGGGCUCAGUCUACCCCCAUCCAGCACUCCUUCCUCACAGAUGUCUCCGAUGUCCAGGAGAUGGAGCGCGGGCUCCUCAGUCUGCUAAAUGAUUUCCACUCGGGAAAGCUGCAGGCGUUUGGAAAUGAAUGUUCCAUAGAACAGAUGGAACAUGUCCGGGGAAUGCAGGAGAAAUUAGCUCGCUUGAAUUUGGAGCUCUACGGGGAGUUAGAGGAACUUCCUGAGGAUAAGCGGAAAGCAGCCAGUGACGCCAACUUGGACAGGCUUCUGUCGGACGGAGCUGAAAAGCUGACUCAGCGACUAAAAGUACUCGCUGCUCUUGCAGAGGACCCCGAUUCUGUUCCCAGCACCCACAUGGCGGCCCUCAACCGUCUGUAGCUCCAGUUCCGGGGAUCUGAAGCCCUCUUCUGGCCUCUGAGGGCACCAGGCACACAAGUGGUGCACAUGCUAAUAUUUAGAAGAAUUGAAUUCUUCUAUACAGAAGCUGCAUUUGGCAGACGCGCAAGAUGUACCCAAUCCGUCUACCGGCUAAGGCAGUGUGCAGCCUGCUCAGGGGGUUUGCAGAGAAGCAGCCGUCGUUGCUUUCGCCGAGUCCAGUAGCAGAAUCAUCCCCACAACAUAAUUCAAGUGAUGGAGUACAAGUGCAGCAAUUGUGCUCACGCCGCUUCUAGUCCAUGUGCUCGCUGUCAUUCACUGCUGAGGGGCGUGGCCUGACUGCAGGGCCCUUGAGGAGCGGGAUGCUGGGCUAUGCUGCUGUGUUUUCUUCUGUUGCCUUAAGGGUUAUACUUGAAAUGCAUUGUGCUAAACGUUCGGUAGGGCUGAAGGAAUUGUCCUUCCUGCGGUCACCACACUGACCCAGUUCUGGUCACACGUUGGUGAUGCACAGGCCUCCUGCGGCAGCCCAGCUUCAGUUUACGUCAGACAAUCAGUACACACGCAGGUGUGUUCCCCAAUGGCCAGUGACAAAUGUUUAAUAAGUAUUUGUGAGAUUCGCUAUUUUUAAUAAAGUGAUUGUUUUGAA